AUUCCAGGUGGAUUUUAGAGCAGGAUGUUCCCAGCUCCAAAUUCCAGGUGGAUUUUAGAGCAGGAUGUUCCCAGCUCCAAAUUCCAGGUGGAUGUUGGACAGGAUUCCA
rnacentral:lncRNA from 1 species